ACUUGCUAGUGAAAUGCACCACAUUCUCUCCAUUACAGUUCAGAUGUCAACUCACAGGUGACCACAGUAACCAAGACAUUUCUGAGGUAUAAGAUGCUGAAUGUCCUCAUCAAAAGUAUCCGGAUGUUUUACCCAUAGAUAAAGAUAAUUAUUUUGGAUGACAGCCUGAAGCCUGAACCUAUUACUGGAAAAAACAUUGAGAACUACAUUAUGCCCCCUACACAGAUUUGCUUUCUUCAGGGCUGGUUUGCAGGGAGGGUCACAAGCAUAUUACCUGUGGGUGGAUGAUGACUAUGUAUUUUUGAAAGGAAGCCGGACUGGGAGCUUUGUAGAGAUUAUGGAAGCAGUUCCAGAAUGGCACAUUGUAAGUUUUAUUAUUAUUAUUAUUAUUUAUUUAUUUAUUAUUAUUAUUAUUAUUAUUAUUUAUUUAUUUAUUUGUUUAUUUUUUUUUGUUAAAAAUGCAGUACAUUUAUGAAACUUACUGCUUGGGGCAAAGAGAAUUCUUUCUCCUUUUGGCUCUGUUUAGCUUGGUGGUGCAGUAUCAGGUGAUCAGUAUUACUUCAAAUUUGAGUAUGAAGAGGGAGAUGAAGAAGAAGGCGGCUGCCUAACACAUGUUAAAAAAGGGUUUCAUCAGCCACUUCUAAACUUUGAUGAGUGGGUCAUUAUGGCAAGUAUUUACUAAAUUUUGUCCAUUGCUAUUGCUCUGAUUUUUUUAAACUCUGUUUCCUCCUCCUAAAGUUCAAGUCACUUUUAUUUAUAUAGCGCUUUUAUACAAUACAGAUAGUUCCAAAGCAGCUUCAAUUUAAUGAACAGAAAAAUUACAGUGUUCAUGUUCCACAAUUAUAACAUACCAGCUGGAACCCCAGACUAAGAAAUUUCUCUCUGUAAAUUAUUUAUUUGACCAACAAUGGAUAUCAUACAUCAGUGGUUUGCCCUGACACUCACUUCAAGAUGUUUAGGCAAAAGGAAACACACAUAGUACUAAACAGCAAUCAUCCUUAAUCGAAGAAAUGUGGCAAAACAUCUCUGGAGAGAACCUCACAUUAUUAAAUGUUGAGUUGUGCUACACCCAUAGUUUCAAUUAGCGUUGCAUUCGGAGGAAAAAGCGGACGAUAGAGAUGUAUCAUCUUUAGCCGUUCUUGGCAUAUUUAUUUUUCUAGCUGUCGACACAUCAGUCUCAAGGUCAGACAGCCUUCAGUAAGAGAGAAAAGUAAAUCAACUGGAACAAACAUAAUAACGCAAACGUGUCUUCUGUAGCUUACACUUUAGUGCCCCAUUGUGGCAUACACAUAUACAUAACACAGAACAGUACAGCAUUACAUUAACAUACAACUGAGGACAUAAUGAACAUAUUUUAACAUUAAAUUCUCUUCUGGGCGCGUCUUAUAGACUAUCUUACAAUCGCAACUUCAUUGUGUUGUUACUCCUUUCAAGCCGAAUUUCACAGAAUCGGUCAGCUCCUGACAGCAUCAGGUGUUUUAUUAAUAGGGAGUAGAAUUAUUUAUUUAUUUCAAUGAAUGUAAUUGAUUAGAGUUCAUAAUAUUUAGACUAUAUUAUUAUAAACCCGGUUGUUUUGUAUUGGUGAUGUAAUAUGUUAAUGAUACGCGGCCCGUGAGACUUGCACUUGGACCAUAGUGCGGCCCAGUGGAGAUGGUCCUCACUGCAGAACACAAGUUCCAGGGGGCGUGGUUGGAUCCAGAUCCAACUCCUCCCACCUUACAUAUACCUAAACCUACCCGUCUCCACCCCCUGAUCCCUAAACCCACCCACCGUCACCCCUAAACCUACCCAUCUCCACCCCCUAGAAGGGGAUCCAACCACGCCCCCUGGAUCUUGUGUUCUGCAGUGAGGGGCUACUGGCCCAGUGGGGAAAAAAAGGUUGAGAAGCUCUGGUCUACAUGUUAGUUUUUCUGAGCUGAUUGCUGGCUGUAAGCUGUCUGCUGAGGUCUGCAGCGUCUCUGUGUCUUUAUUGUUAAAUAAAUAAUAGAUGAUAUUCUGUUAGUGUGUCUGUAUAAGAUGCCAGUGGCAUCUGCUAAACAUGUUUGGACACUAUUACACUGGUAAUAUUUUGUAGACAAUUUAUAAUCCUUUAUAGCAUUAAAUGAAUUAAUAUGUUUUAUUUAUUAAUAUAUAUUUUUAAUAUUCUGUUUGACUGGUCUUAAA
rnacentral:lncRNA from 1 species